GAUGGUGACGAGACUGUGUUCCCUUCGUCGACAACAAACAGCAGCUCGUCACCAUUUUAUAAUGUGUCUGAAUGUGCAAAGGGUGGUCUAUCUGUUAAACCAAAGAUGGGAGAUGCGAUUCUGUUCUGGAGCAUGAAGCCUGAUGGGUCCCUAGAUCCCACAAGCCUGCAUGGUGGAUGCCCAGUUAUAAAAGGCAACAAAUGGUCAUCGACGAAGUGGAUGCGUGUUCAUGAGUACAAAGUUUAGAUACAAAAAGACACAGACCUGAGGUCAUGCACCGGUUCAAAUGAGUGGACAUUUUGGCACAUGUCGAGAGUUUUGAUUUUCCAUAGAGGAUUAAUUUACAGUUCAUCUUUUCUAGCUGUUACUGAGGCAAUGUCUUAGGCUCCGUGUUGUACAUUAACAUGUUAGGCUGAUGAACAUAAACGAUAAACCUGAUGAUUCAGAGAUGGA